GAUGAACGCUGGCGGCGUGCCUAAUACAUGCAAGUCGAGCGAAACGACGAGGACCUUUCUCCCCUGACGUUAUCGGCCGUCGGGAGCGUCACACAUGGAUAACCUAACUCUAAGACUGGGAUACUUACGGGAAAUCGGAUCUUAUACCGGAUAAUAUAUUGAACCGCAUGGUUCACUAGUUAAAGACGGUUUUGCUGUCCCUUAUAGAUGACUCAGCCCCGCAUUAGCUAGUUGGUAAGGUAACGGCUUACCAACGCAACGAUGCGUAAACGACCUGAGCGGGUGAUCGGCCACACUGGAACUGAGACACAGUCCAGACUCCUAGAGUAGGCAGCGGCAGAGAAUCUUCCGGGAUGGACGAGUGCCUGACAGAGCAACACCGCGUGAGUGAUGAACGUGUUCGGAUCGGUGAACGCUGAAGUUAUGGAAGAACUAAAGUGUAAGUAACUAUGCUCAUCUUGACAGUACCUAAUCAAAAAGCCACGGCUAACUACGUG
rnacentral:rRNA from 1 species